AUUGAACGCUGGCGGCAUGCUUUACACAUGCAAGUCGAACGGUAACAGCACUUCGGUGGCUGACGAGUGGCGAACGGGUGAGUAAUACAUCGGAACGUGCCUAGUAGUGGGGGAUAACUACUCGAAAGAGUAGCUAAUACCGCAUGAGAUCUAAGGAUGAAAGCAGGGGACCUUCGGGCCUUGCGCUACUAGAGCGGCUGAUGGCAGAUUAGGUAGUUGGUGGGAUAAAAGCUUACCAAGCCGACGAUCUGUAGCUGGUCUGAGAGGACGACCAGCCACACUGGGACUGAGACACGGCCCUGACUCCUACGGGAGGCAGCAGUGGGGAAUUUUGGACAAUGGGCGCAAGCCUGAUCCAGCAAUGCCGCGUGCAGGAUGAAGGCCUUCGGGUUGUAAACUGCUUUUGUACGGAACGAAAAGCCCUCUUCUAAUACAGGAGGGUCAUGACGGUACCGUAAGAAUAAGCACCGGCUAACUACGUG
rnacentral:rRNA from 1 species